rnacentral:rRNA from 1 species
UACGGAGGGAGCUAGCGUUGUUCGGAAUUACGGGGCGUAAAGCGCACGUAGGCGGCUUUGUAAGUUAGAGGUGAAAGCCUGGGGCUCAACUCUAGAAUUGCCUUUAAGACUGCAUCGCUUGAAUCGCGGAGAGGUGAGUGGAAUUCCGAGUGUAGAGGUGAAAUUCGUAGAUAUUCGGAAGAACACCAGUGGCGAAGGCGGCUCACUGGACGCGUAUUGACGCUGAGGUGCGAAAGCGUGGGGAGCAAACAGG